GAGAGGUGGCUUUCUGCGUGUUUUGUCUCAAACCACACAGGACACAUCCCAGAAGUCUGGAAGAAAGGUAAGUAGAACGAAUGCCUCGUAAAGAGGAGAGGAAACUUGCCAGACAGUUUUAGGAAACAGGAUAGCAGCAGCCUAGACUGUCGACACCAACCAGCAGUGGUGAGCACAGCGCCAGCAGGAGGGGUGGGCUCAGCCACGGACUAGCUGUGUAAUUUUGGGCAAGUCAUCUUGUCUAAGCCUCUAUUUCCUCAUCUGUAAAAGGAGAAAAUUUCUAGAUCCCACAGUUGUGGAGGAGCUCAAAUCUCAUCCCUAAGAAAGGGCUUCUGUUAACUCUAAAAACAGGAGAAAUGCCAUUUCUCCUGUGUGAUUAAAAACUCACUUAUCAGGAGCCACAGUGUUUUACCACAAAUAAGCUGGUGGUUUGCAGAGGCCUCUUGGCUUCAAUUUUCUUGUCUGUGCAGUGGUAACAACCACCCCUGUGCUGCAGCUUCUCUCAGUGGGACCAUCAGGGCAGGGAACACAGCCACGGCCCGGAGAGAGCUCUGCUGGCAUGCUACACGCGCACGUGCCAUUCCCUCCGCAAGCCGCGGCUCAAGAACGCCUACAACCUGGGUUUACAAGAGGUUCCUUCUUCCUGUUCCGCCCCAGGAUUCUGGCAGGUGGCUCAGAAAAACGGCAACUGCCAAGGCUGGUGGUGACGUGGGUUAGGGAAGAAGAUCCUUCCCUGAAGAGGAUUCUGCGUCCACCUCCACGGCCACCUAACCCUAAGCAGAGACCCAGCCAGCCCCAGUCUGCCGAGGAGCUGGUGAGGGGACCCCAGCCUUCCGUGAAGCCGAGUCCAGGGGACACUCCUGGCAAGCAGAACAGGCCACUGCAAUCUGCCCCUCACCCCCAUCUCUGCGCAGCACUUGCCCAGGGCCAUCUCUCUGCACUCACACCCCAACCCUGGGCCACCCCUCUUCCUUUGACCCAAUGAGCCCAGCCUCACCAGCUCUCCUUCAGAGUUUGGCUUAAAUCUUUUAAGACAUCCCCAUCGCCAAUCUCAGGCCAGAUAGCGUGUACUCAGAAAGCAUUAGCUAAAUGAAAACGCACACCUCAAUUUCUCAUUGAUAUUCAAACAGAAAAACAAGCUUCAAAUGCAAAAGCUUCCUCUGUUUAUACAGCCACACCUCAGCCCUCCAGUCUAUCUUUCCAGUUUGUUAAUCUUUUCCAACGGCUCUAAAAGAAAACAGCCCUAUUUUAGGCCAGGGUAUCUGGUCUAAAAUGACCUCAAGCCAAAGCCUAGAUUCUAGCACGGGAGCCUGGGAUUGGUUUGAGUCGGUGAGCUCCAAAGAUCCUGCGACAGUGAGGCCCCUGGCUUGUGUUCAGGCCCUUUUUAGGCUCCAUUCGACCUUGCCUCACUGCCCACACACCACCUUCCUGUCCCCCGAUGUGCUUCCUCACCUUCUUUCCAGACUUCUAAUCCUUGGCUGGUACAGCAGAAAAAGGCUCUGGCACUGGACAGAGCUGGAUUUCAUUCUUGACUCUAGCACUUAACUCUGAGCCUCAGUUUUUUCAUCUGUAAAAUAAGAAUAAUACCACCUUCAAAAAGGCUGAGAAAUAAGAAAAAUGUCCAAGUGCCUGGCACACACAAGGUACCAAUUUUAGCAUCUUUCUUCCCGCUCUCCUUUCUUCCAUCCACUGCUGCCCACAGCCCAAAAUGACCUAAACUGAAGGCCACUGUUAGCUACCUGGGACAUUCAGCUGACAUGUGAAUGCAGAGACUGUUCUUCCAAACCACACAAAAGGAUCAAGAUAGGAGAAACUGCAACAAAGCAGAGAAAGACUAGGCUCCUAGGCAGCGCAAAGAGAAUGCCCUCACUGCAGCAGGCUAAUCCCGUUACCUCCUGGGGGCCGUAAGCAGCAAAAAGAUGACUCAGGACCGCAUCUCCAGCUAGGAUAUGCUAAUCUGACUCUUAAACUGCCUGGGCAGAUGGUGGCAGUCUCCACACUACCCACCAGCAGAGACAGCAUAGUUUGCAGAAAUAGCAAAGUUCUGCCAAGAAAGACCCUAAGACCCUCCUUAGAAGGACCAGGUAAUUAAGGUGUUAACAACUGACUGAUCAAGGCAAAACAAACAAAAGAACCCUCGAUCGUUACUGAGGCAAGAAUUCCACCCAGAUGGCUACAGCUGAGGAAUGGGGUCACGUCUGCCAGGACAUCACUGACACACAUAUAUCCUGGAUUGAAGAAGCGCCUCUUGACUAUAAUGCAACUCUACCUUAUUUGCCUUUAAAAGUAACACUCAGUCCUGUCUACACAGUUUUUAUAACCUUAGAGCAUCACAGAACUCGAUCUGUAUUCCCCACUCAGCUCACCUCUACCAGCAGAGAGGAAUGCGGCCGCACACUUUUCUCCAGAGGUUCCGGAGGUCCACGUAGACACGUGCGAGCCAGAGACAGACAGGAAGAUGCUCACCCUUUAUUCAGACCAACCAUCUCCUCAUUUUUCUUUUUGCUGAAAAGCAACUUCCCAACUGUGUCCAGAUAGAUAAAUGGGUAUAUGGACAGAGAGAGGGAUGGAUAGACAGGUAUGUUUUUUUCUAAGAUUAACAGGCAAGAGGGAGGCCUCAAGUGGUGUUAACUACAGAUUUUUUUUUCCCCAGGGUGUUGCAGCAAACUAGAAGAGAGAAGCAUCCAAGUCAACAGCCUUCUAAGCAUGCCACCCGGUCUCCUCUUUCUUUUCUGUGAUUUAUAGCAACUUGCGUUCUACCUGCCAAAUAAAUGAAAAUAAAAGCGCUUACCUUUGUAUACUGAGACCACAGCUUACAGUCACUAUAUCUCAGCCUAUUUUAUACAAGUGAUAUGGCUACGAAGGUCCAAGGAGAACGAGAAUAAAGUGAGAUAAACGUGCUGAAAACUGCUUAAAAGUAUUAACCUGAAAUACACAGAGGAUCCAACACCAGUUUUAAAAAUACAUUAACGAGUGGUUUGUUCCCCAGGUUAACAAUUUGAGAGAGACUACAAACGACUCCAGGAGCCCUGGCUUCCCCGCACCAUGCACUGCAUCUAGUCAGCAUGAGGUCAGCAAAACGAAUCAAUGAAACAUGAAAACUCCCAGCUGAGAUGGGCCCUCUUGUGUACGUCUAGCCACUAAUGCACAGGAUGAGAAUGCGGUCCCAAAGAAAUCUGGUACAUAAAUUUGCCGUAUUUUGUGAAGCCCAUUCUCAGCGACGGGUACUGUUCAGCUCCAAAAACCAGAAAUGAAGAAAGACGAGGAAAGCUAAUUCAUACUAAAAACAGACAUUUUUAAGACACAGAACUUGUAAAUAUCAACAUGGGACCACACUGUUGCCUUCAUGGGGGCGAGUACCUUAAUAAAACCAUUACCUUCUAGUAACAUCAUAGGCUUCCAAACAAGGUGAGAAUGCAAGUGGAAGACUUAGGUCUGCACCCUUUACAGAACAACACAAUGUUACCAACUGAUCAUUUUUCACCAGCUUAAUCAGGUGUCUUAAAAAAUAAAUGCUGACCCAUGGCUGAAACCUGUCACUUUUCACAGCAGCACUCAACAAGAACUGGGACAAUCGAAGAGCAAGUUUUUAUGGGGACCCUGUUGCUGCUUUAGAUUCUGAUGUAAUUGAAGAGGAUAAGAGACCCUUCAAAGAAUCCCAGAAAAAUCGCUAAUCUUCUCUCUGCAUGAAAAAAGCCAGGGAGUGAACACAGUAUCUUACAGAGUGAAGAAGGCCACAAGAACAAGAGAGGGCUAUAAAAGAACUUCCUUUUUAAAAGCUUCAGAAGACAGGCCUUUCACAGAGGUCAGUGCAAUGAUGUAAGAGAGAAGCUACUACAGAGCAGAGAGGCAGACAGCAGGAUUCCUCUCACAAUCACUGCCACUAGCUGAUGGCUGCUGACCCCUCGGGCGUGAGGGAAACGUCCCAUGGCCCAGCAGCUGGACAAAACUGGACGAGCACGUCACCAAAGGCAAGAGAGUUCACCUCAGUAACCUGCCUACUACUGUUUAAUGAAAGCUGCUUCCUUUAAAUAAGACAUGAAAUGAGGCAAAAAUAAAUAAAUAAAUAAAUUUCCAUAGAAA